GACGAACGCUGGCGGCGUGCUUAACACAUGCAAGUCGAACGGAAAGGCCCUGCUUGCAGGGUACUCGAGUGGCGAACGGGGGAGUAACACGAGGGUGAUCUGCCCUGCACUUCGGGAUAAGCCUGGGAAACUGGGUCUAAUACCAGAUAGGAGGCAUUUUUAGUGUGAUGGUUGGAAAGUUUUUUCGGUGUAGGAUGAGCUCGCGGCCUAUCAGCUUGUUGGUGGGGUAAUGGCCUACCAAGGCGGCGACGGGUAGUCGGCCUGAGAGGGUGGACGGCCACCUUGGGACUGAGAUACGGGCCAGACUCCUACGGGAGGCAGCAGUGGGGGAUAAUGCAUAAUGGGCGGAAGCCUGGUGCGGCGACGCCGCGUGGGGGAUGACGGCCUUCGGGUUGGAAGCUCCUUUCGCUAUGGACGAAGCUUUUUGUGACGGUACCUAGAUAAGAAGCACCGGCUAACUACGUG
rnacentral:rRNA from 1 species